UGUGAACCCCGUAGCUGAAAUGUCGUGAUGGUCGGGAAUGUAUCCCAAGUAGCACGGGGCCCGAGAAAUCCCGUGUGAAUCUGUCAGGACCACCUGAUAAGCCUAAAUACUCCCAGAUGACCGAUAGCGGACAAGUACCGUGAGGGAAAGGUGAAAAGCACCCCGGGAGGGGAGUGAAAUAGAACCUGAAACCGUGUGCCUACAACAAGUUCGAGCCCGUUAAUGGGUGAGAGCGUGCCUUUUGUAGAAUGAACCGGCGAGUUACGAUAUGAUGCGAGGUUAAGUUGAAGAGACGGAGCCGCAGGGAAACCGAGUCUGAAUAGGGCGCAUUAGUAUCAUGUCGUAGACCCGAAACCAUGUGACCUACCCAUGAGCAGGUUGAAGGUGCGGUAAGACGCACUGGAGGACCGAACCAGGGCACGUUAAAAAGUGCUUGGAUGACUUGUGGGUAGCGGAGAAAUUCCAAACGAACUUGGAGAUAGCUGGUUCUCUCCGAAAUAGCUUUAGGGCUAGCGUCGACAUAAAGAUUCUUGGAGGUAGAGCACUGUUUGGGUGAGGGGUCCAUCCCGGAUUACCAAUCUCAGAUAAACUCCGAAUGCCAAUGAAUUAUGGUCGGCAGUCAGACUGCGAGUGCUAAGAUCCGUAGUCGAAAGGGAAACAGCCCAGACCACCAGCUAAGGUCCCAAAAUAAUUGUUAAGUGGAAAAGGAUGUGGGGUUGCACAGACAACUAGGAUGUUAGCUUAGAAGCAGCUAUUCAUUCAAAGAGUGCGUAAUAGCUCACUAGUCGAGUGACACUGCGCCGAAAAUGUACCGGGGCUAAAACAAUUUACCGAAGCUGUGGAUACCUUUAUAGGUAUGGUAGGAGAGCGUUCUAUGUGUGAUGAAGGUAUACCGUGAGGAGUGCUGGAACGCAUAGAAGUGAGAAUGCCGGUAUGAGUAGCGAAAGACAGGUGAGAAUCCUGUCCACCGUAAGACUAAGGUUUCCAGGGGAAGGCUCGUCCGCCCUGGGUUAGUCGGGACCUAAGGAGAGACCGAAAGGUGUAUCCGAUGGACAACAGGUUGAUAUUCCUGUACUAGAGUAUGUAGUGAUGGAGGGACGCAGUAGGCUAACUAAAGCAGACGAAUGGAAGAGUCUGUCUAAGCAGUGAGGUGUGAAUUGAGUCAAAUGCUUAAUUCUAUAACAUUGAGCUGUGAUGGGGAGCGAAGUUUAGUAGCGAAGUUAGUGACGUCACACUGCCAAGAAAAGCUUCUAGCGUUUAAACAUACUCUACCCGUACCGCAAACCGACACAGGUAGUCGAGGCGAGUAGCCUCAGGUGAGCGAGAGAACUCUCGUUAAGGAACUCGGCAAAAUGACCCCGUAACUUCGGGAGAAGGGGUGCUCUUUAGGGUUCACGCCCAGAAGAGCCGCAGUGAAUAGGCCCAAGCGACUGUUUAUCAAAAACACAGGU
rnacentral:rRNA from 1 species